rnacentral:rRNA from 1 species
CCGAGAAUAUUGGACAAUGGGCGAAAGCCUGAUCCAGCGACAUUGCGUGGAGGAUGAAGACGUUCGCGCCGUAAACUCCUUUUAUAGGGAAAGAAGUAAUUGACGGUACCCUAUGAAUAAGCGGGGGCUAAUUCUGUGCCAGCAGCAGCGGUAAUACAGAACCCGCAAGCGUUAUCCGGAUUUAUUGGGCGUAAAGUGUUCGUAGGCGGUUCGGAAAGUCUGAUAUCAAAUAUCCGGGCUCAACCCGGGGCGAGUAUUGGAAACUUCCGAACUUGAAGGUGCUAGGGGCUAUCGGAACGCACGGUGUAGGGGUGAAAUCCGUUGAUAUCGUGCGGAACACCAAAAGCGGAGGCAGAUAGCUGGGGCAUUCUUGACGCUGAGGAACGAAAGCGUGGGGAGCAAAAAG